rnacentral:rRNA from 1 species
CAAUUAUACCGUGAAACUGCGAAUGGCUCAUUAAAUCAGUUAUCGUUUAUUUGAUAGUACCUUACUACUUGGAUAACCGUGGUAAUUCUAGAGCUAAUACAUGCUGAAAACCCCAACUUCGGGAGGGGUGUAUUUAUUAGAUAAAAAACCAACGCCCUUCGGGGCUUCUUGGUGAUUCAUGAUAACUUCACGGAUCGCAUGGCCUUGCGCCGGCGACGGUUCAUUCAAAUUUCUGCCCUAUCAACUUUCGAUGGUAAGGUAUUGGCUUACCAUGGUUUCAACGGGUAACGGGGAAUUAGGGUUCGAUUCCGGAGAGGGAGCCUGAGAAACGGCUACCACAUCCAAGGAAGGCAGCAGGCGCGCAAAUUACCCAAUCCCGACACGGGGAGGUAGUGACAAUAAAUACUGAUACAGGGCUCUUUUGGGUCUUGUAAUUGGAAUGAGUACAAUUUAAACCUCUUAACGAGGAACAAUUGGAGGGCAAGUCUGGUGCCAGCAGCCGCGGUAAUUCCAGCUCCAAUAGCGUAUAUUAAAGUUGUUGCAGUUAAAAAGCUCGUAGUUGAAACUUGGGCCUGGCUGGCAGGUCCGCCUCACCGCGUGUACUUGUCCGGCCGGGCCUUUCCUUCUGGAGAACCUCAUGCCCUUCACUGGGUGUGUUGGGGAACCAGGACUUUUACUUUGAAAAAAUUAGAGUGUUCAAAGCAGGCCUUUGCUCGAAUACGUUAGCAUGGAAUAAUAGAAUAGGACGUGCGGUCCUAUUUUGUUGGUUUCUAGGACCGCCGUAAUGAUUAAUAGGGACAGUCGGGGGCAUCAGUAUUCAAUUGUCAGAGGUGAAAUUCUUGGAUUUAUUGAAGACUAACUACUGCGAAAGCAUUUGCCAAGGAUGUUUUCAUUAUUCAGUGAACGAAAGUUAGGGGAUCGAAGA